AGCAAAAUCAGCUAAUUAAGCUUUUGGGCCCAUACCCCAAACAUGUCGGUUAAAAUCCCACUUUUGCUA
rnacentral:tRNA from 1 species